AUGGCGACGCGGGUAGAGGAGGCAGCGCGGGGAAGAGGCGGCGGCGCCGAAGAGGCGACAGAGGCCGGACGGGGCGGACGGUGACGCAGCCCGCGGCAGAAGUUUGAAAUUGGCACAAUGGAAGAAGCUGGAAUUUGUGGGCUAGGGGUGAAAGCAGAUAUGUUGUGUAACUCUCAAUCAAAUGAUAUUCUUCAACAUCAAGACUCAAAUUGUGGUGGCACAAGUAACAAGCAUUCAUUGGAAGAGGAUGAAGGCAGUGACUUUAUAACAGAGAACAGGAAUUUGGUGAGCCCAGCAUACUGCACACAAGAGUCAAGAGAGGAAAUCCCUGGGGGAGAAGCUCGAACAGAUCCCCCUGAUGGUCAGCAAGAUUCAGAGUGCAACAGGAACAAAGAAAAAACCUUAGGAAAAGAAGUUUUGUUACUGAUGCAAGCCCUAAACACCCUUUCAACCCCAGAGGAGAAGCUGGCAGCUCUCUGUAAGAAAUAUGCUGAUCUUCUGGAGGAGAGCAGGAAUGUUCAGAAGCAAAUGAAGAUCCUGCAGAAGAAGCAAGCCCAGAUUGUGAAAGAGAAAGUUCACUUGCAGAGUGAACACAGCAAGGCCAUCUUGGCAAGAAGCAAGCUAGAGUCUCUUUGCAGAGAACUUCAGCGUCACAAUAAGACGUUAAAGGAGGAAAAUAUGCAGCAGGCACGAGAGGAAGAAGAACGACGUAAAGAAGCAACUGCACAUUUCCAGAUUACCUUAAAUGAAAUUCAAGCCCAGCUGGAGCAGCACGACAUCCACAACGCCAAACUCCGACAGGAGAACAUCGAGCUGGGGAAGAAGCUGAAGAAGCUCAUCGAACAGUAUGCACUGAGGGAAGAGCACAUUGAUAAGGUGUUCAAACAUAAGGAACUGCAACAACAGCUCGUGGAUGCCAAACUGCAGCAAACUACACAACUGAUAAAAGAAGCUGAUGAAAAACAUCAGAGAGAGAGAGAGUUUUUAUUAAAAGAAGCGACAGAAUCGAGGCACAAAUACGAACAAAUGAAACAGCAAGAAGUACAACUAAAACAGCAGCUUUCUCUUUAUAUGGAUAAGUUUGAAGAAUUCCAGACUACCAUGGCAAAAAGCAAUGAAGUGUUUACAACCUUCAGACAGGAAAUGGAAAAGAUGACAAAGAAAAUUAAAAAACUGGAAAAAGAAACAAUAAUAUGGCGUACCAAAUGGGAAAACAAUAAUAAAGCACUUCUGCAAAUGGCUGAAAACAGUCCGUGAUAAAGAGUACAAGGCCCUUCAAAUAAAACUGGAACGGUUAGAAAAGCUGUGCAGGGCUCUUCAAACAGAAAGGAAUGAGCUCAAUGAGAAGGUAGAAGUCCUGAAAGAGCAGGCAUCCCUCAAAGCGGCCGACAGGGAUUUAGCAACAUCUGUGAUACAGCCCUGUGCUGCUCUGGAUUCUCACAAGGAGCUGAACACUUCCUCGAAAAGAGCCCUGGGAGCGUACCUGGAGGCCGAGUCCAAGAGCCAGAGAAGCGCCGUGCAAAAGCCCCCGUCCACAGGCUCUGCUCCGGCCAUUGAGUCGGUUGACUAAGAUGAGGUGUGAUCACUGUAUUGAGAGAUAUAUUUUGUGUAUAACUUUCUCUGUUAGUAGUUAACUAUUGGUUUUGUGGUGAAAAUUUUCUUACUUUUUCUACCAUAUCUGUAUUUUCUUAGAACUACUGGACUUACGUGGUAUAGGAGGCUGCUUAGCAGUUUUGAAUAGUUUAAUCUAUAAAUUUUCCUCGGCUGUGUUGCACAUCGGCCUCAUCCUCCCUCCACUGGAAUGCACGUGUUCAUUGCCUUGUCCUUUCUCUCCCUGCUACUUGCACAUUAUCAUCCUAAUGAAA